rnacentral:lncRNA from 1 species
CAUAUUAUGUAAAUGUAUAUUUUAUAAAACCUUUGACAUACAGCAAUUACUUUCAGAAAUCCACCUGGCUUUCUCUUGACUUGGGAAAAUGAUGUUCCAGGGUUCAGUAUGUCAUCAGCAACCUUCAGGACCCUGCAUGGUAGGUGCACUAAGAACGAUUUCCUUUGUGGGAAAUGAAGCAGACCCCAGCCACAGAGGAUCCGCUGUCAUUUCUGAGGUGCAUUUAACUUAAAUAGCCAGGAGAUCUGGAGCCCCCAAAACAGGUUAGUGAUACCUUCUGCUCCGUGGGAACAGUCUCUGAAAAUGACGUCAUCUCCAGGACCCAAUUAAAAUUCACACCUUUUAACCUCCACAACUGGAGAUCCAUAUCAUUGCAUUCGAUUCCAGGAAGAUAGCUUGAUAUUCUAAAUUAUUUGUCAGCCUGGCACGGCAAAUAAACAUUUGUGAAAUUCAUUUCA